CCUACGGGCGGCAGCAGUGGGGAAUAUUGGACAAUGGGGGCAACCCUGAUCCAGCCAUGCCGCGUGUGUGAAGAAGGCCCUCGGGUUGUAAAGCACUUUCAGUGAGGAAGAACGCCUGGUGGUUAAUACCCAUCAGGAAAGACAUCACUCACAGAAGAAGCACCGGCUAACUCCGUGCCAGCAGCCGCGGUAAUACGGAGGGUGCGAGCGUUAAUCGGAAUUACUGGGCGUAAAGCGCGCGUAGGUGGCUUGAUAAGCCGGUUGUGAAAGCCCCGGGCUCAACCUGGGAACGGCAUCCGGAACUGUCAAGCUAGAGCGCAGGAGAGGAAGGUAGAAUUCCCGGUGUAGCGGUGAAAUGCGUAGAGAUCGGGAGGAAUACCAGUGGCGAAGGCGGCCUUCUGGACUGACACUGACACUGAGGUGCGAAAGCGUGGGUAGCAAACAGGAUUAGAUACCCUUGUAGUC
rnacentral:rRNA from 1 species